rnacentral:rRNA from 1 species
UUCUUUGAAGUAGGAGUUUUGCCAUCUUUUGUUGUUUUGCUUUUUGAUGCUGGCAGCAAAAUAUGUGUUGCAAAUGUGCUCAAGCAGAAUUUCUAACAAGAGAGAGUGCUCCUAUCUUUGAAUCUGCUCAUUACUCUCUAACACCCUGUGCACUAUAAGCAAAGUUCAAUUUUUCUCUAGGCUUUGGCUGCCUGUGAAUUGAUACAGCUGUGUGUUGUUGUUUUGUGGGUCCCCUUAUGAUCUGCUGAGGGAUUAACAAUAUCCUAAAGUGGGAGAGUAAGAUAGAACUACAAUACAAAUAUGCAUGCAAUGUAAAUAUUUAACUCACACAAGGCCAGUUUGGGGAAAUAGAUAUUGGCUUUGUUCUUAUCAUAAACUGCUAUAAUACAUAUGUCUUACAGAAUGAACUGCUCCCAGAUGUGAGCAAAAAAUACAUACAACUUUCAACAAUGGAUCUCUUGGCUCUCGCAUCGAUGAAGAACGCAGCGAAAUGCGAUAAGUAAUGUGAAUUGCAGAAUUCAGUGAAUCAUCGAAUCUUUGAACGCACCUUGUGCUCCUUGGGUCACCUAUGGAGCAUACCUGUUUGAGUGUCAUGUUGAUCUCAAUCCCCUCAGGUUUUUGUAUAAAGACCUGUUCAGGUGGAAUUGGAUUUUGGAGGUUUCAUUGCAGGUUUCCAUUGGAAACCAGCUCCUCUUAAAAAUAUUAGCUGGAGGGAUGAAGUGAAGGCUCUUUAUCAUUGUUCAUUGGCUAUGGUGUAAUAA